rnacentral:lncRNA from 1 species
GGGAUGUAAAAUGCAAUUUCACUGAAACAUCAGGAGGUCAAGAGUGUUUUGGUGCCACAGGACAGCGUUUGAUUUUUCAUCUGUGGAAAAAGCCAAAUUCAGAGAUGAGGUUGAUAAAAGAUGACAAACAUCGCAUUUUGAUAAGCAAGAACAUGAUGGUGGCUGUGGAUAAGGAAUAUGUGGAACCGUACAGUCACAAUGAGUCUGAAUCUGAAUUCCUAAGGAGUGGAGAUUUAAUCCUGGGCACGGCUGCGAUGAAACAUUCAGGAAGUUACGUUAUGGAGGAAUUUAACUCUGUUGGUAAAUUACUCAAAAAACUCACUUUUCAUCUACUAAUACAAGGUAUGUACUGUAAACUGUGUGAGUAUAUAUAUUUGCACAACUAACUAUGAAAGGCAAAUCCUGACCAGCUGUUAUUGAUGACUUUUCAUGUAUCUGCUGCUCUUUCAGCUCCAGUAUCACAACCAGUUGUGUCCCAGUUGUGUUUGUCACCAGGACAGAUGAAGGUCAGCUGCUCCUCUGAGGGAGAAGCAGCAGAGCUCACCUUGACUCUAGACGAACGCAUGCUGAGUCCAACCAACUGUACGGGAGGAAAUCUGCCGCUGGCUGAAAGUGGAGCCGAACGACACAAACCCAACGUUUCACACGUUACUGUGUGUUUAAGUGCUCGGCUGACAGGAAGUCUUGUGUGUACGGCGUGGAACAUGGUCAGCAGACAGGAAACGCUUGUUCAUCUGAAGGACUGUGGAGAUUUCAUUUCUUCAUUCCCUGCUGUGACUGUGGCUGUGAUAGCGGGUGUUGCUCUCCUUCUCCUAGUGGCUCUUUUUCUUGGUAUAAAAAAAUGUAUUCACAAACCAAGACCCACAACCGUUAAUGAAUGCAAUGAUGAAACUGAAAUUGUCUACACUGAAGUUACAGUGAUAAGAAAUGUGAAGCACAAUACAGAACUAGACCAGCGUUCAACAUACUGUAAAGGUUUUCUUUAA